UUUUUUUUCUUUUCUUUUUAGGGCCAUACCCGCAGGAUAUGGAGGUUCCCAGGCCAGGGUUGAAUUGGAGCUGUAGCUGCCGGCCUACACCACAGCCACAAAAAAACUCCACAUCCGAGCCUCAUCUGUGACCUACACCACAGCUCACGGCAAUGCCAGAUCUUAACUCGCUGAGUGAAUUCAGGGAUUGAAUCCGCAACCUCAUGGUUACUAGUCAAAUUCGUUUCUGCAGCGCCACAACUCGAACUCCCAGGAGUGGUUUUUAGCACCUUCCCUCCAACACCUCCUCUCUCCUAAUGAGAAAUAUAAAUUCUUCAAUAUGAAUAGUUGAUAUUUUCUCAAUUUCACGUGAAGUGUAAAUAAAAAUAACUUUAGAAAACUUCUACUCUUUAUUGAUCUGUUAGCAUGAGUUGUAUCCAAAAAUAGCGUGCUGGCAAUUCCCAUUGUGAUGCAGUGGAAACCAAUCUGACCAGUAUCCAUGAGGUUUCAGUUCCAUCCCUAGCCUCUCUCAGUGGGUUGGAGAUCUGGCAUUGCCCUGACCUGUGGUGUAGGUCACAGCUUGGAUCCUGGGUAGCUGUGGCUCCAAUUCCACCCCUAGCCCGUGAACUUCCAUAUGCCGUGGAUGCGGCCCUAGAAAAACAGGCAAAAAUAAAUAAAUAAAUAAAAAUAGUGGGAUUCCUAGGUAAGUGGGAACUUUAAAGCCGAGUAUACACCUUUCCCCAACAAGAUUUUUGCUCCUAAGCCCGCCUAUAUAGGAAUUCUGCAUCCCCCAUUGCCUCCCCACCCUCCCUUUACUCUUUCGCACCAUGCUGCUUUAUUUCCUUAACAGGCUUAUAUCUACUUCAAAGUGUGUUGAUUGUCUUCCUACUAUUCCCACCUAUAAAACGAGGUUCUUGAAUAUAAGGACCUAUUCCAUUUGUUUACUGAGGUAUUCUGAUGUGGCGUAGGUGAGCAAUAUCUUCUGAGCAAUAAUAGAGCUCUAACUUAAAUAUUUGUUGAUUAGGUUAUUUUUUUCUCUCAAUAUUAUUAUUAUUUUUUGUCUUUUAUCUUUUUAGGGCGGCACCCACACCAUAUGGAGGUUCCCAGGCUAGGGGUCUAAUCAGAGCUGUUGCUGCUAGCCUACGCCACAGCCACAGCAAUGCCAGAUCCGAGCUGUGUCUGCGACUACACCACAGCUCACGGCAACGCCGGAUCCUUAACCCACUGAGUGAGACCAGGGAUCGAACCCUCAACCUCAAGGUUCCUAGUUGGAUUCAUUUCCGCUGCUCCACGACGGGUACUCCUCUCUCAAUAUUAUUCAUUCAAAUGGUACUGAAGUAUUUCACUUACUCUUGCAACCCCCAGCCCAAGUCCCCUUCCUGUAGGUAAAGACUCUUCUAACAUUUUUCUUGCUUUUGUCAACUCUUAACUUUACCACCUGUCUGCUUCUCUAAACUGGGAGGUCCUUAAAAUUGGCUGAGGCAAAAGGGCUUGGGUUCUGGAUGGGAAGGGAAGAGUGGUUCACACUCAGGUCCUCCCACAGAAUGAGAGAGGUAAAUUUCCAGCAAAUAUGUAGAACGACUAGGGGAAAGAAGGAAUUUUUUAAAAGUAGUGUGGUAAACAGUACAAAGUGCAAGAACCGUUUGGCUUUCUGCAAUUCCAUGUAAAACAGAAAUUCCAUGCUCCAGGUUUUCCAUUGCACUGGACCUGCCCAAUCUCUGUAACACUCUUUGUUUACUUGUCUGGCUUCUCUCCCAGCCAGGGCUGAGAUCAAGUUUUAUUUGUCUUGAGAGCUCCAGCAACCAGCAAUGUGCCUUAGCCUCAGAGAAGGUGCUUCAUCAAUGUUUCUGGAAUAAUUAAAUAAAAAUAUAGUGUUCUGUAAAACAAAAGUGUCCUGCUUCCGCCCACUGAGAAUAUGGCACAAUGUUAUGGUUUAACUGCAGCAAUGUCCUAACUGAAUUUUAAAUGAUUGUUCUGAUGAUUUUUAAAAUUUCAUGCUCUUCUCAGAGUACAGCACUCACUGUACUGAGAGACGGGUUACGCCCACCUGCCCCAGGGCAUAUCUAAUUCAGAUUUCCUGUUCCUUCCCUACUCUGUGCUGUUUCUUACUGUAAUGUUGCUAGGCAACUUUUGCAGAAUCCACAGGCUUGUGGUAAUGUUGCAAUAACUGAGUAAAAAUCUUGCCCCUAGGUAUUAGGAGAACAAACCUGUUUAUUCCCUUUAGACUGACAAUUUAGCAAGUGAAGUCUUUAAUGCCACUGUUGUCAGCCCAUUCACAUUCCUUAGCAGCAAAAUAAGCAAGGUUCCUGCUCUGAAGAUUUAUAAUUGAUAUUCCUAAAUCACUCUCUCAAAUACUUUUAAUAUAUAUAGCACAUAAAUAUAUGUGCAUAUUCUCAUUAACAUAAGCCCUGGACUUUUUUUUUCCUUCGGCUGUGCCGGAGCAUGUGGAAGAUCCGGAGCUAGGGAUUGAACCCUGGCCACAGCAGUGAUGACACCAGAUCCUUAACCCCACUGAGCCAACAGGGAACCUGAUUUUUGCUCCUAAGCCCCUCCUAUAUGGGAAUUUUACUAUCCAUGCAAGUCCCACUGCCUCCCACCCCCGCCCCCAGCCCCUUCACUCUUUUGAAUGAAUAAAGCCCUGCACUUUUGAAUAAAAGGUCCUUCAGAACCAGGAACUAAUUUUCACAGUGGUGUACCCUAGGAAUGUUUCUUAAGACUAGCCAGAUUUUACCCAAAGCUGAAUCCUUUCCAAGUUAUGCUUUUGAUUCUAGAGAAGUAACUUUUUUCUAAACAUGAGCCUACGCUGAUAGAUUUUUAGUUAAAAAAACAAACAAAAACCAUGUUAGUCAAAUCUGUUUUUUACUUAAAAACCAAAUAAUACACUUUAAAAGUUCAACUGGGUUUUGCUUUGGCUCAGUGGGAUCCUGUGGACUCUCAGGAGCACUGGGAGGCAGUUCAAUCCCUGGCCUGGAACAGGGGGUUAAGGAUUCAGCGUUGCUGAAACUGCAGCAGGAAUCUGAUUCCUGGCCCAGGAACACCAUGUGCUGCGGGGCG
rnacentral:lncRNA from 1 species